CAGAGGUCCCUAGCAGGCUGACGAAAUGAUCUUCUUUCUUCAGAGAUUCCAGGAAUGGGGGUUAUGGCCGGGGCAAGGCUGGCGGGUGGCUCAGUUUCCUCAUGGCAAAAUCUCUAGAGUGCAUGGCAAGGAACUGAGUGACAUACUGAAGACAAACUAUAUAUAAUGAGGAAAAGAAGCUUCAGAACUAUAUAAAAUCACUGACUCUCAAAUCCCAAUGGAAUUUAUAUCUAUGAAGUAUAAACUUCAUAAUUGUUUUGCAGAAGGAGGAAAGGAUUUCCAGUAACCACAAUGUAAUGUUUAUCUUUUGAACAAAUAGACUUUCUAUGUGUGAACCCAUUCACCAGCUUCUCAACAUAUGAAAUGAGCCAUCUUUCUGCUUUUGUAUUGAGACAACUCUCCCCAGGCAACUCAUGUGUGUAAGUAUUGAGUGUAUCCCCAGUUUAGGGAGGUGCUCUGUAACAAAUGUCUUUCCUAAUUAUCCUCAUAAAUACCCUUUAUAUAAGAUAAUUAAGUCUCACUAAUAAUCAGUAUUGUGGGAGUUUAUGAGAAAAGUAUAAAAAAGUAACCCUUUACUACAUUAUUUCUUGAACCGUGAAGGGAGAGUAGUAGUCAUCUCUCUUCUGGGCAUCCAUUUCACCAAGACAAGGAUGGGAAAUUAGCCUCUGAGAGCUCUAACAUAUUAAUAUUGGUGCCACAGUUUUUAUUGCAUUGAAAGAGUCUGUGAGAACCCAGGAUCACCUCCAUAAUUUUGUGACAAAUCAGAGGAGGAGUUUAUUUGGUGUCAAAAAGCAAUUAAUGAGCAAGUGAGAAAUUUAUUUUUUAGAGAUGGUUGGAAAAUGCCUCAAGCAGAUAGGAUGAUCACUUGCUAGUUAAGUUAUGGAACAAAUUCUCAUUCUGGUAGAGUUUAAAUGAAAUGACCUAAAAAGUACUUUCCAAUUCUGAGCUGUGUGAACCUAUUAGGGUUGUGGAAAAAAAAUAAACUAAAGGGAGCAUUGGUAAAUUGUUUAGCU
rnacentral:lncRNA from 1 species